GAGCGUAUAGCUCAAUGUAGAGCUUAUGUUUAGCAUGCAUGAGGUCCUGGGUUCAAUUCCCAGUACCUCCA
rnacentral:tRNA from 1 species